GCCAAUGUGGCUCAAUGGUAGAGCAUCGCUUUCCUAUUCUUAGAAAGGCGGAGGUUGUGGGUUCGAGCCCCAUCAUUGGUU